UGGGGAAUAUUGCGCAAUGGGCGAAAGCCUGACGCAGCGACGCCGCGUGGAGGAUGAAGGUCUUCGGAUUGUAAACUCCUGUCAGGUGGGAAGAAAAGCUUUUUUUUAAUAGAAAGAAGUUAUGACGGUACCAUCAGAGGAAGCACUGGCUAAUCUCGUGCCAGCAGCCGCGGUAAUACGAGAGGUGCUAGCGUUAUUCGGAAUUAUUGGGCGUAAAGGGCGCGUAGGCGGUCUAUUAAGUUUGUUGUUAAAGCCUCUGGCUUAACCGGAGAAAAGCAAUAAAAACUGAUAAACUAGAGGGUGAGAGAGAGAAGUGGAAUUCCCGGAGUAGCGGUAAAAUGCGUAGAUCUCGGGAGGAACACCAAUGGCGAAGGCUGCUUCUUGGCUCACAACUGACGCUGAGGCGCGAAAGCGUGGGGAGCAAACAGG
rnacentral:rRNA from 1 species